AUGAACGCUGGCGGCGUGCCUAAUACAUGCAAGUCGGGCGAACGGACGAGAAGCUUGCUUCUCUGAUGUUAGCGGCGGACGGGUGAGUAACACGUGGAUAACCUACCUAUAAGACUGGGAUAACUUCGGGAGACCGGAGCUAAUACCGGAUGAUAUUUUGAACCGCAUGGUUCAAAAGUGAAAGACGGUCUUGCUGUCACUUAUAGAUGGAUCCGCGCUGCAUUAGCUAGUUGGUAAGGUAACGGCUUACCAAGGCAACGAUGCAUAGCCGACCUGAGAGGGUGAUCGGCCACACUGGAACUGAGACACGGUCCAGACUCCUACGGGAGGCAGCAGUAGGGAAUCUUCCGCAAUGGGCGAAAGCCUGACGGAGCAACGCCGCGUGAGUGAUGAAGGUCUUCGGAUCGUAAAACUCUGUUAUUAGGGAAGAACAUAUGUGUAAGUAACUGUGCACAUCUUGACGGUACCUAAUCAGAAAGCCACGGCUAACUACGUG
rnacentral:rRNA from 1 species